UCUGUAUCGGAUGAAAACAAGAAGAUUUUUCAGUCUGAUCAACCAGUCUGCUUGCAGUCGUCAGUUACCAUCAGCUAAGUCCCCUCCUGUUCCCUGAUUUAAGAGGUGAUGACUACUCCACUCCAAUACCAUUGUCAACUUUCUCCUGACAUGAACCGAAGCCACGUCUCAGGUGCCCCCUCAUCCACUGGCACAUUGAAUGUUUCCCCUCCAAGCACUUUUUUUGUCUUCCCAGUCAAAUCCUGUCCUGCACUGGUCAAGCCUAUGAACACCUCAACUCAUGCCUCAUACCCUCAUUCAAUCACUGCUGUGAUCCAUUUCCAACACGGUUCUCUAUUCUCUCCCCCAGUGAAUGCUUGAAACCCUCAUCUUGUCUCUGUCUCCCUUUCCGGAGGACCUGAGGCUCUUGGACCGAGACUGAGUACUCCCUGGCCUGACACCUGGAGGUGCCUAGCCCAAUCCCACCUUGUCACGCUCUACCUGCUACCUGCCUAUUGCUGCCUUCACUGGUUCUUUCUCCUCAAACACUGACCCCCACUCCCCACACACCCAGAAACGGGAAUUUCCAUUACUUACCAUGACGUCUGACUAUAGGGUCUUGAAUGUAUGCUUUUAUACGGUCUGUAUCUCUGUAUUAAUGUAAGUCAAAUAAAUAUUGUGGACUGGAAGUGUGACUUCUUUUUUUUUUCACCUUUAUUUAACCAGGUAGGCUAGUUGAGAACAAGUUCUCAUUUGCAACUGCGACCUGGCCAAGAUAAAGCAUAGCAGUGUGAGCAGACAACAAAGAGUUACACAUGGAGUAAACAAUUAACAAGUCAAUAACACAGUAGAAAACAAAGGGGGGUCUAUAUACAGCCGACUAGAGCAUACAAGUCGCAGUGGUGGGUGGUAUAAGGUGCUUUAGUGACAAAACGGAUGGCACUGUGAUAGACUGCAUCCAGUUUGCUGAGUAGAGUGUUGGAAGCCAUUUUGUAGAUGACAUCGCCGAAGUCGAGGAUCGGUAGGAUAGUCAGUUUUACUAGGGUAAACUUGGCAGCGUGAGUGAAGGAGGCUUUGUUGCGGAAUAGAAAGUCGACUCUUGAUUUGAUUUUCGAUUGGAGAUGUUUGAUAUGAGUCUGGAAGGAGAGUUUACAGUCUAGCCAGACACCUAGGUACUUAUAGACGUCCACAUAUUCUAGGUCGGAACCAUCCAGGGUGGUGAUGCUAGUCGGGCAUGCGGGUGCAGGCAGCGACCGGUUGAAAAGCAUGCAUUUGGUUUUACUAGCGUUUAAGAGCAGUUGGAGGCCACGGAAGGAGUGUUGUAUGGCAUUGAAGCUUGUUUGGAGGUUAGAUAGC
rnacentral:lncRNA from 1 species